GACGAACGCUGGCGGCGUGCUUAACACAUGCAAGUCGAACGGAAAGGCCCUGCUUGCAGGGUACUCGAGUGGCGAACGGGGGAGUAACACGUGGGUGCUCUGCUCUGAACUUCGGGCUACGCCUGGGUAACUGGGUCUAAUACCGGCUAGGAGCCAUUUUUGUUGUGAUGGUUGGAAAGUUUUUUCAGUGUAGGUUGAGCUUGCGGCCUAUCAGCUUGUUUGUUGGGUAAGUGCCUACCAAGGCGGCGCCGGGAGGCCGGCCUGAGAGGGUGGACUGCCACAUGGGGACUGAGAUAAGGCCCAGAAGCCUACGGGAAGCAGCAGUGGGGAAUAUUGCACAAUGGGCGCAAGCCUGAUGCAACGACGCCGCGUGGAGGAUGACGGCCUUCGGGUUGUAAACUCCUUUCGCUAGGGACGAAGCUUUUUGUGAAGGUACCUAGAUAAGAAGCACCGGCUAACUACGUG
rnacentral:rRNA from 1 species